ensembl:lncRNA
GCGGUGGCCCGAGUGGUGGCCCUGAGUUCCCGCCCAGAGACGGGCGCCUGCGUCGGUGGAGAGGAGCCCUCCGCGGCCCACGCUGGCCCCCACGGAGCAGGCGGUUGCGCCCAGUAUCGUCCGGAACUCGGGAGAAGCCGCCCUGGGUGCUCGGCCGUGGGCCACCCGCGGGGGCGGCCGGACACGCCAGGGCCUUGGGGCUGGGGCUGCGCUGGUGUCGGCCUGCUGACCGCGGCUCCCGGCCCCGCCCCGCUGACCGCGGCUCCCGGCCCCGCCCCGCUCACAGCUGUCCGCUCCACAGAUCGGCUGCUAUCGAGGCUUCGCCCUGGCGUGGAGGCACCUGCUGCGGGGCUGUGCGGCCGAGGACAGGAAGCGGAGAGUCCUGGAGUCGCUGAUCGGCCUGCUGCAGCAGUUCCCCUACGACGACCCCGCCUACGAGAGGCUCCAGGAGGACCUGGACAGGAUCCGGGGCAAGUUCCGGCAGCUCUGUUCACUGCUCAGCGUCCAGCCGGACUUUAAAGUUCCUGGGGAGGGUUCCGGACUUUCAUUUUGAGGGUGACAGACCCACAAAGGCGGGACAUCAGGGAACAGAUGUUCACAUGCCGAGUGCUUCAACACGUGAUCCAAGGGAGGUGCGGCGGGCAGAGGAGCUGUCGCGUGUGAGCCCCGUCCUCCCACGGGCCCCGCGGGCCAGCUCUGCCCACCCGGUGCUGAAGGCGGCGAGGAGCCGGCUGCGGCUCUCAACCACCACGCGCGUCUGCAGCGGGAGAGCCGGGCGCGCCAGGAGCGCCGGGAACGGGCGCGGCGUGGCAUUUGGAGGACGAGGCUCGGGCUCCGUCCUCCCGACUGUGACCGGCGGUGGCCGGUGCAUUAGCGGGGAGCUGGAUUGGAAGAGGAGCAGCCGGGACUCGAACCAGCACUUGUACGGGACGCUGGUGCCGCAGGCGGGGGCUUAACCUGCUGUGCCGCAGCGCCGGCCCCGUCAGUCACCUCCUUAAAGGCGUGUGUCCAACUGCGUCGCGUUCUGAGAUGUGCGGCAUCCGUGCAUGGGUGGCGCAGGGACGCGGACGCCGCGGCCUGAGGCAGCCGCCCUGGCUGUGCUGGACCUUGGCUGUUGACCCAGGACGUGAGCAGGUGGGCACAGCUGAGGCUAACCCUCCACCAAAGCCUGCCUUGGAGUCCCCCUCCCCCCACCCGGGGCAGUUGCUGUCCUGCAGCAAGGCCGUGUCCACCUGCUGGGACACACGGACACGGUUUGGAGACAGCAGUGUCGUUAACAAGCGAGUUCGUCCCAGUCCUUAACACGGAGGGGGGUGUGGCUCCCUGAGGGCAGCCGGGCAGGGUGCUGGGCGCUGCCCGGGACACAGGCCUCCUGCAGUGGGGGAGCAGCUGCCGCGGGCGACGGGGCCCAGCUGGGGCUUGGGGUCUGUGUCCAGAAGGGUCGCUCCUUGCUUCAGACCUGUGCCGGAACUUUCUUCACGGCUGAGACUCCGCGGCUGGCUUCGAGGGCCCGGCCAGUCUCUUGCAGCCCAGUGACACCAUGGUGGCCAUGUCUCCCCCACGUGCCGUCCCAGGCCAGCCGGGCCUUGGCUCGCCUCAGGGUUCCUGCCUGGCGGCGUGGCCAGACGGCUCCUGGUUCCCAUGGAAUCCCUGUGUCCGGUAAAUCUUGGAGUGGGCACUGCUCGUGGGCCUGGGCCUGGACGUGAGAGCCCGGGCGGGCGCCUCACGGAUUCCACUGUGGGGUCUGAUCUCUGGUGGCCGUGGCGUGGCCGUGGCUGAGGCCGAGGCCGUAUCAGAAGCUGGGGUUUGGCACGUGUGAGGAAGACGUGAGGUGAGGUGUAGCUGUGGUGGCCCAGGAGGAGGCCGUGUGACAGAGGCAGGGACUGGGGUGCCCGGGCACCUCCAGGAGCUGGGGAGGGCAGAGCCUGUGGGGACCCCUGUUCCACUUCAGCCUCCAGGAGCCCCUUGUGUGACAGCUGCGUGGUGUGUGACGGUUUGUUAGGGAAGCCCCAGGGAGUGAUGGGAGACCCUCCCUCCCUGUGAGCCCAGAGCCGUCCAGCUAACGAGAGGUGGUGGGGGCGCCUACACCCCAGGAAGGCGCUGGCUUCUCAAGAUGUUAGCACAGUCCUCGGCGCCCACCCCUGCAGACCACCACCUCCCGGGGCUUGGCUGACGCCCUGCAGCGAGCCAACACGGUGAGCACCCGGGAGGCUGGCCUGAGCCUGUCCCCGGGCCUCAGCCCCGUCUCAGGCCUGGGGCGAUGGCCGUGGUCAGGCAGCUUUUCUAAGUCUGGUCACACGUGGGCUCCGUGACACGGAGUGCCAGGUUGGUCACACGUGUGCUCCAUGACAUGGAGGGACCUGGCUAGCAGCGUCGGUUCCCUUGAGGUAGAGCGGUUCCACACACGUGUGAGCUGGUUCCGUGCCAGGCGCUGUGGACCAGACACAAGUCUCCCCAUGGAGUGCCCAGCUAAGCAGGGCCAGUGAAGGCUCUGGGACUGCGGGGCCGGUGCUGUGGGGUAGUGGGUAAAGCCGGCAUCCUGAGCGCCGUCAUCCCAUGUGGGUGCUGGUUUGAGUCCCGGCUGCUCCACUUCCGCUCCAGCUCCCUGCUAAUGCGCCUGGGAGAGCAGUGAGGACGGCCCAAGUGCUGGGGCCCUGCACCCACAUGGGAGACCCGGAUGGAGCUCCUGGCUUCAGCCUGGCCAGCCCUGGUCGUUGCGGCCAUUUGGGGGAGUGAACCAGGAAGACCUCUCUCUCUCCUCUGUCUCUCCCUCUCUCACUGUAACGCUGACUUUCAAAUAAAUAAAUCAGUCUUAAACA